rnacentral:lncRNA from 1 species
ACCCAUGGCAUAUGUAGGUUCCCAGGCUAGCGGUUGAAUUGAAGCUACAGCUCCUGGUCUACACCACAGCCACAGCAACGCAGGAACUGAGCUGCAUCUGUGACAGCUCAUGGCAACGCUGGAUCCUUAACCCACCGAGUGAGGCCAGGGAUUGAACCUGCAACCUCUUGGAACCAUGAGGUCGCGGGUUCGAUCCCUGCCCUUGCUCAGUGGGUUAACGAUCCGGCGUUGCCAUGAGCUGUGGUGUAGGUUGCAGACUCGGCUCGGAUCCCGCGUUGCUGUGACUGUGGCAUAGCUGGUAACUAUAGCUCCAAUUGGACCCCUAGCCUGGGAACCUCCAUAUGCCGUAGGAGAGGCCCAAAGAAAUAGCAAAAAAGACAAAAAAAAAAAAAAAAAAAGCUGUGUCUUAAGCAUUUGUAGAUAGCUAGUUGACAGUAACAGAGACCAGAAAAUGGGCGCUGAAAAAUUAUUCUAUAUGAUUAAAACACUGUUCUCUCCAAAGACCUGGGGUUUUAAAAAGACUUCACGAGGUCCAAAGCUAGCGGACAAUGAGAUGUAAUGGAGCCUGAAAGGCUCAAAAUGAGAGAGAUGAGCUAUUGAAAAUAUUAAUGAAUUCAAAGCUUUGAUAAAGUUUGAAGCUAAGAUGAACUUUUAAUUGAACUCACCUUUGGUGAGUGAGACCCUUAGGCCACAAUAAGCCAUACGUUUCAUGAAGAUUUAUCCUUAAUGGAAGCUUUCAAACUCUCAAUGCAGACAAUUUUUUAAAUUUAAUGGUUUCAAAUUGUAUUCUUUUCAUUACAUGGUAAUUAUACAUGACCAAGUUUCAUUUCGAGCCACUUAUGCCUCAUCUUCCUAAAUGUCAUGCAGAAUAUAUUAGUGCAUCAAAUUAGGACGGCCAGCUUUUGAACUAUAGUGACCUCACCUCUGGUUUUUCUCGUGAUGUGGUUGAGUAUGGAGCAAUUAACUCCAGCCAGAUAAAGUAGGUCGAAAAGAUCAAGAAAGAACCUGCAAGCAGAAGGUGUGGAAACCAGAGAGAAUGUUGCCAAGAGGUGGGGAUGGGUCCAGGUGAAUGGUUGGCCUCUGGGAACGAUGGUUUAGCAUGGAUGGGGAACUUCAUAUCCCUGUUCACAUAAUAACAGGCCUCUCUCCCAAUACUUUAACUUAAUUUACUCAUGUCACACCAACAUCCUGACUAUCCAGAGCAGGAAAGGAAUGUAUUGGCAAAAAGUGUAAUUGCAGGGAGUUCCCUGGUGGCUCAGUAGGUUAAAGGCUCUGGGAUUGUCACUGCUGUGGCUUGGGUCACUGCUGUGGCACAGGUUCUAUCCCUGGCCUGGGAACUUCUACAUGCCAUGAGUGUGGCAAAAAAAAUGUAAUUGGACAUAAAACAGGAUAGAGUAUGAUCUCAGCUAUGCAGCUGUGUUCUAGUGUUUUAUUAUUCUGCUACAAUGUAAACAUUCCUUUUUUGCUUUUCAAGCAGGAUAAAAAGGAAAAUUAGACUUAGGUAGUCUCUUUUGCCCAGGAGAUCCUGCUGGAAGUGGCAAGAAUCCUCACCAGUGAUUUAGCUCAGGAAUGGGACAGGAAUGGGAAUAGGAGAUGGCACUAUACAGAGACCCAGGCAGGACUGGUAGGUUCUAGGAGAGCUGAGGUCCAAGCAAAGAGGGCCUGGUGACUCAGGGACUCUGGGCUAUAGGAUCAGUAGACAGACUGCCUUGUUGCUGAAGCCGCUCAAUGCUCCUGGAGCCCCCUAAUUUAUGCUUGUCUAGGCGUCUGGGGCAGAUGGGAGGCAGAGAGCCACAGGGAGGAAAGGAGGGUAGCAGAGAGCACAGAGGUGCUGAUGUGCUCAAGAGGAAUGGCCAACAGGAGUUCCCUUUGUGGCUCAAUUGUUAACAAACCUGACUAGGAGCCAUAAGGUUGUGGGUUCUAUCCCUGGCCUUGCUCAGUAGGUGAAGGAUCUGGUGUUGCCAUGAGCUGUGGUAUAGGUCA